UUCGAGUGGCGGACGGGUGAGUAACGCGUGGGUAACCUGCCUUACACAGGGGGAUAACACCUGGAAACAGGUGCUAAUACCGCAUAAGCGCACAGGGCCGCAUGGCCCAGUGUGAAAAACUCCGGUGGUAUAAGAUGGACCCGCGUCUGAUUAGCUUGUUGGCGGGGUAACGGCCCACCAAGGCGACGAUCAGUAGCCGGCCUGAGAGGGUGGACGGCCACAUUGGGACUGAGACACGGCCCAAACUCCUACGGGAGGCAGCAG
rnacentral:rRNA from 1 species